rnacentral:lncRNA from 1 species
AAUUAAAAGCGAAUAAUUAACAUAGUGCAUAACAUACAAUAAUCAUAAUUGUUCACACAAUAUCCCUAGGCUCUAGGCCAUAUCAACAAAGGAUAUUAUGUUUACAACCCAAAAGAUAAUGUUAGCAAAGUUCAACAUGCCAUCACGGGCUUAAUACAAUUCAAACGAAUAACCCGACCCGGUAAAACCUAAUCAGAGCAAU